rnacentral:rRNA from 1 species
UACGUAGGGACCAAGCGUUGUUCGGAUUUACUGGGCGUAAAGGGCGCGUAGGCGGCUUGACAAGUCACUUGUGAAAUCUCUGAGCUUAACUCAGAACGGCCAAGUGAUACUGUCGAGCUAGAGUGCAGAAGGGGCAAUCGGAAUUCUUGGUGUAGCGGUGAAAUGCGUAGAUAUCAAGAGGAACACCUGAGGUGAAGACGGGUUGCUGGGCUGACACUGACGCUGAGGCGCGAAAGCCAGGGGAGCAAACGGG